rnacentral:lncRNA from 1 species
GGGAGACCUGAACGUAGAUCAGCCCCCCUACUCCUACUCUCCUAUAUUGAUAGACCCUGAAUUGAAAUAUGUUGAGAGGGAGCCCUCUGGUGGCAGAGAGAAUAAUUUGUGUUGCUUCAUGGACUUGAUGCCUUGGUGUCGAUUUGCUUUGGUUUGAAUGUGUGUUGAAAUUCAGCUUUUCAAGGAAACUUUUUUGUUUUGUUGUGUGUGAACCUGUCAAUAAAUAUGCAAUGGACACAAGACUUGAUGCUUCUGUUUACUUUCUCCAGGGUGCUGACCCUCUGGUUUGACUAUGGGUACUGGCCUGAAGUCAACAAGGCACUGGUGGAGGGCAUCAAAACCAUUCAGAUGGACACCUGGAUCUCACAUGCUCAUUUUCGAUUUGCUUUUAUUGUUAUGUCCGUUGUGAUAAAAGUUGAAACUGAAUUCUUCCCAUGGGCAAGGUUGGUCUUGGGCCAUGAAUCAUCCAUAACAGUUAUUCAACAAAGUCUUAUAGGACAGUAACAGAAUAGGAAAGCCACAUUGCAUUUCCACGGGGGGAUAACUAUGUUAUGUCUCCCUCUUGCCCCCUCGCCCAUAGGUGAUCCCCCAGCUGAUUGCCCACAAUGACACUCCCCGCGCUCUUGUGGGCCGCCUCAUCCACAAGCUGCUCACUGACAUUAUUCGGUAAGACCCCCAGGUAACGAUUGACAUACUGCUGCUGGAGCUAGGUAGCCUUGGUUGGAAGCCUAUUUCUGCUCUCUUUCCAACUUCAUUAAAUGAUCGUGCCAUGUUCUAUCUCUCCCUCUUUUCUUCUGGUCUUUGAGCUAUCCGUUGACCGUGGCCUCCAAGUCUACCACCAAUGCCCGCCACAACGCUGCUAACAGGAUCCUCGAGAACAUGUGUGAGAACUGCAACACCCUGGUCCAGCAACCCAUCAUGGUGUCCAUUUUGGUGGAGGAGCUACAAUGGCGAUCCAACUUGUGGCCACACUUCCUUUUACACAGCCUGUUUUUAUCGAGUAACCAUGAACUUACUAAGUAACGACUCCAUUUUGUUGCUCCCUGCCUACAGACAGAAACUAAAACAAGAAGCUCCCGCGCUGAGGUCUGUUCAAUGCUGGUCCGACCAAUCUGAAUCCAUGCUCCAAGACUGCUUCCAUCACGUGGAUUGGGAUAUGUUUCGUAUUGCGUCAAACAACAACAUUAACGAAUAUGCUGAUUUGGUGAGCGAGUUCAUUAGAACGUGCGUUGAAGAUGUCGUUCCCAUAGCAACGAUUAAAACAUUCCCAAACCAGAAACCGUGGAUUGAUGGCAGCAUUCGUGUGAAACUGAAAGCGCGAACCACUGCUUUAAAUCAGGGCAAGGUGACCGGAAACAUGACCGAAUACAAACAGUGUAGCUAUUCCCUCCGCAAGGCAAACAAACAAGCUAAGCAUCAGUAUAGAGACAAAGUAGAAUCGCAAUUCAACGGCUCAGACACAAGAGGUAUGUGGCAG